rnacentral:rRNA from 1 species
ACAGCAGCCGCCACGGUAAUACAGAGGGUGCGAGCGUUAAUCGGAUUUACUGGGCGUAAAGCGUGCGUAGGCGGCUUCUUAAGUCGGAUGUGAAAUCCCUGAGCUUAACUUAGGAAUUGCAUUCGAUACUGGGAAGCUAGAGUAUGGGAGAGGAUGGUAGAAUUCCAGGUGUAGCGGUGAAAUGCGUAGAGAUCUGGAGGAAUACCGAUGGCGAAGGCAGCCAUCUGGCCUAAUACUGACGCUGAGGUACGAAAGCAUGGGGAGCAAACAGGAUUAGAUACCCCCGUAGUCCCUGUCUCUUAUAA